GUACAACUUUGAGCGGUGGAUCACUCGGCUCGUGUGUCGAUGAAGAGUGCAGCUAACUGUGUGAAUUAAUGUGAAGUGUAGUCUGCUCAGAACAUCGACAUCUUGAACGCAAAUAGCGGCCGUAGCUCCGUCUAUGGCCACGUCUGUCCGAGGGUCG
rnacentral:rRNA from 2 species